GCAAGUCGAACGGCAGCAUGCACUUCGGUGUGAUGGCGAGUGGCGCACGGGUGAGUAACGCGUACAAAACCUACCUUUUACUGGGGGAAAGUCGCUGGAAACGGCGAAUAAUCCCGCAUACGACUAUGAGGACACAUGUUCAUAUAGUGAAAGACUUCGGUUGGUAAAAGAUGGUUGUGCGUCCCAUUAGCUAGAUGGUAAGGUAACGGCUUACCAUGGCGACGAUGGGUAGGGGGCGUGAGAGCGUGGUC
rnacentral:rRNA from 1 species